CUCUCUUCCCAUUUUUCUUUGUUUCUUUAGAUAUCGACUACAAGUUCUUUUUGGUCAAAACAUUUUUUCGACUACACUCAAGUAUCUACCAUUUGCAUUCCAAGAUCUCUCGCGCCUUUUCUCCAACAGGUCAUCUGCACCAUUUCGCCGGAAAAAUCCACCAGCACCAUUCUCCGUUUAGAAACAUCAACUGUUUUGAGCCCUCUAAACCGUUGCAGAGUGAGUGAUUGAGUGAGAUGGAUGAUGAUGCCAAGCAGCAGAGGAGGUAGAGGUACGCCUUUUCUUCACAUUACUCUUGAUUUUUCCCUCGGCAGAUACUUGGCCUCUAAACCAAUCAAAUCUACGAGUACUACCCAUGUACCCAAAAUUGCUGGUCUUGAAGAUGCCCAGAAAUGUUCGAUGAAAUGCUUCACAGGCGUCCUCUGCCUUCGAUCAUCCCUUUCACUCAAAUCUUGUGUGAAGUAGUGAAAUUGAACCUCUUCUCUGAAAUGGACACAAUGAUUGCUGCAGUGCACAUGAGGAUGGUUUGAUACUUUGAUGACUUGACAGAAGUAGGAAGUAUCUUAAGAGAUGUCCUGGAGAUUCCAGAUGUCCCUCUAAAGGUGCGAAGACUCAUCGUCAAGGUUUCCGAUGCUGUGACCUGCAGGGCCGCUAGAUUGGCAGCUUCCGGAAUCGCAUGGAUUUUAAAGAAGAUCGGGCGUGAUGGGAUCGCAGACUGAUGUAGAAAUUAUCUUGAAAUGAGAAGAACUUUUUUUUUUUUUUUUUUUUUUUUUUUGAAGUAGACCUGGUGCGGCUGCCCUCAAGCCUUGAUUAAUGAAAUUGCAGAAUACAAGAGGGGGACAUAGAGCCUGAACCCCAAAUUACAAUAAGCAUAGAGAGAACAUCCUAGAAUAAAACCCGGAUUCUCCACAAAAUCUAUGUAUUCUAACAAGCACCAAUUAGCAAAGAGUGCACGAAUGACUACUCUAUUUGCUUUGACAUAGCGGUGACAUACCGGAAAGAGAACUCUAUUACGAAGAAGCAUAAUUACCUGCUUUAGCACAGCUUUCCCACUAUGUUGCCGCACGGAAAUAAAUCCGGCGACACUCAAUUUCAUCCUGCCACUAGGAGGUUGCGCCCAUUUGAUCAAGCAAAUAGCUCGCCGCCUCGCUAGGCCAGACAAGGCACACUGAGUGUGCAUACCGGGACAAAGCCCACGUCGCCCUAACCAAAAGUGGUAGGGACUUAUUGCCGGCAUAGAGCCACGUUUAACUAAAAAUAAGUAAAAAUAAGACAAAACAGAAAAGAUAAAUGGGCCAAGGGACAAAGCCCAGACCCAACCUCCAACAGGCCCAAGUCGAAGCAAUUGGGUGCAGAAAUCAGAAACCUUGCAUCCCACCUGCGCCUCCGAUGUCGUCCCACCACCGGCGGCAGAGCCACCGCGACUGUCGUCGAGCCAUCUAGCCUCGCCGCCCCUCAGGUCGGAGCCAUACAGCCCAAACCAAAUCGGGUCUAACAGAUCCGAUCUGAACCCAGUGGUUCUCGACGAUGCCAACGUCCGGCCAUCACCGGUAGGCGAUCUCCGAAAACGUGACACCACCUCGAAACAUUAUCUGUAACUUAUAUAUAAGCAGCAAUUAAGCAAGUCUGAAGGAAAGUCAUUUAUGUCUAGCUCACAUUAUCUGUAACUUCAUAUGUAUACACAUAGCGAGGGCCUCUAAAGGCUGAGAAAGCAUAGUGGCAACGAAAUUCAAAUGACAA